CGGGUGAGUAAUAGAAGGGGAUCUACCUCUGAGUGGGGGAUAACGUUCCGAAAGGAGCGCUAAUACCGCAUGACGUUCCGGGUUUGAAGACCGGGAAACCAAAGCUGGGGACCGCAAGGCCUAGCGCUUGGAGAGGAGCCCGCGCCUGAUUAGCUAGUUGGUGAGGUCACGGCUCACCAAGGCGACGAUCAGUAGCCGGCCUGAGAGGGCGGACGGCCACACUGGGACUGAGACACGGCCCAGACUCCUACGGGAGGCAGCAGUGGGGAAUUGUUCGCAAUGGGCGCAAGCCUGACGACGCAACGCCGCGUGGAGGAUGAAGGUCUUCGGAUUGUAAACUCCUGUUGACCGGGAAGAA
rnacentral:rRNA from 1 species